rnacentral:rRNA from 1 species
AAAUUGAAGAGUUUGAUCAUGGCUCAGAUUGAACGCUGGCGGCAGGCCUAACACAUGCAAGUCGAACGGUAACAGGAAGAAGCUUGCUUCUUUGCUGACGAGUGGCGGACGGGUGAGUAAUGUCUGGGAAACUGCCCGAUGGAGGGGGAUAACUACUGGAAACGGUAGCUAAUACCGCAUAACGUCGCAAGACCAAAGAGGGGGACCUUCGGGCCUCUUGCCAUCGGA